UGAGGAAUAUUGGUCAAUGGGCGAGAGCCUGAACCAGCCAAGUCGCGUGAAGGAAGACUGCCUUAUGGGUUGUAAACUUCUUUUAUACAGGAAUAAAAAGGCUUACGUGUAGGCCAUUGCAAGUACUGUAUGAAUAAGCAUCGGCUAACUCCGUGCCAGCAGCCGCGGUAAUACGGAGGAUGCGAGCGUUAUCCGGAUUUAUUGGGUUUAAAGGGUGCGCAGGCGGGCUUUUAAGUCAGCGGUGAAAUCUGGACGCUUAACGUCCAAACUGCCGUUGAAACUGGGAGUCUUGAGUAUGGAUGAAGUAGGCGGAAUUCGUUGUGUAGCGGUGACAUGCAUAGAUAUAACGAGGAACUCCGAUUGCGUAGGCAGCUUACUAAGCCAUAACUGACGCUCAUGCACGAAAGCGUGGGGAUCAAACAGGAUUAGAUACCCUGGUAGUCCACGCCGUAAACGAUGAUUACUAGUUGUAUGCGAUAUGAUAGUAUGUGACUAAGCGAAAGCGAUAAGUAAUCCACCUGGGGAGUACGCCGGCAACGGUGAAACUC
rnacentral:rRNA from 1 species